rnacentral:rRNA from 1 species
AGUGAACGCUGGCGGCGUGCUUAAUACAUGCAAGUCGACUGAACUUAAGGUAGCAAUAUUUUAAGGGAGGUGGCGCACGGGUGAGUAACACGUAGGUAAUCUGCCUUUAGGACUGACAUAACCCAGAGAAAUCUGGGCUAAUAUCAGAUGAUGCAGCGGCUCGACAUCGAGACAGUUGUUAAACCUUCGGGGCCUAGAGAUGAGCCUGCGUCUGAUUAGGUAGUUGGCGGGGUAAUGGCCCACCAAGCCAUCGAUCAGUAGCUGGUCUGAGAGGAUGAUCAGCCACACUGGAACUGAGACACGGUCCAGACUCCUACGGGAGGCAGCAGUAAGGAAUAUUGCUCAAUGGCCGAAAGGCUGAAGCAGCAACGCCGCGUGGAGGAUGAAAUACUUUUGUAUGUAAACUCCUGUGAGAAGGGAAAAUAUGCAGAUUUUCUGCGUUGAUUGUACCUUCAGAGGAA